rnacentral:rRNA from 1 species
UACGAAGGGGGCUAGCGUUGUUCGGAUUUACUGGGCGUAAAGCGCACGUAGGCGGACUAUUAAGUCAGGGGUGAAAUCCCGGGGCUCAACCCCGGAACUGCCUUUUGAUACUGGUAGUCUUGAGUUCGAGAGAGGUGAGUGGAAUUCCGAGUGUAGAGGUGAAAAUUCGUAGAUAUUCGGAGGAACACCAGUGGCGAAGGCGGCUCACUGGCUCGAUACUGACGCUGAGGGUGCGAAAAGCUGGGGGAGCAAACAGG